UCACCAUUUUACCCAACACAUUUUCUUGAUCUUUGUGGCUUAUUUGCUUUGGUGGUCCCAUUUCAAGGCUGGAAUCUUGUACCUUCAAUAUAAAAAUUAUAGAGAGGCAAAGUUUUGAUUCAAGAAGUAUCCAUAUUUGAGAAGGCAGCUGGGAGACCUAAAAGCAUUUCAAGCCCUCAUGGUAGGAUUUCAGUUUCUGGCUCUUCCCCCCACCCCCUUCCAAGUUGGUGCCUUUUGGUUUUGUUACUCAGAUUUGCUUUCUGGAAGGCAGGCAAGGUGAGAGAACAGAGGAAAGGGAGAGUGAUACCUGAGUGACACCAAGAAGAUUUCAUAUUAGAACUCACGACCCACUUCAAGACUCUUUGUACUAGUGACAAAAAACCCCGAAACAUUUCCCCUCCAAAAAAAAUCCUGAAAAGGGUAGAUGGUAUGAAGAGGAAUGAAAGGGAUAUUUGUGCUCAACUCCUUACCCCACUCCAUGAAAAUAAAUUUUAAAAGGUCAUAGCAGCAUCUUUUUUUUUUUUAAAGAACAGAAAAGAAGGAA